UUUUUUUUUUAGACAUUCUGCUUCAGUCCUUCAGGCGUUGUGCACUUCUACGCUCCGCCUUCUGCCCCUCCACACCAUACCUUCACCUUCUCGACUUCUCGUUGACUCCUUUACUCGUUCAGCAAGCCGGCAACGCCAACACUCCCGCAGCCUUGCGCCUCAGCAGCGACUGCUGCCCGUUGCCCCGUUGUCAGCACUCAGCAGACAGCGAUUCGUCGUCAGUGGCCGGUGCCCGGUGCCCGUCGUCUACUCGUCCGGAAAGCGGCACUUUCCCUAGCCCUUGAUCAAAACGCGGUCGUCUGGUGCACAGCCGUUACCCUCCUUCGAAACGGUGUCGUUCCACUUAAUGCCCAACGGCUCUCACCUUCCCCCUUCAUGCGACGUCGUUUACCUGCUGAGGUAUUUGAUGCAUGAGGUCAUUUAGUUCUGAUUGGUCUUGUAGAAUUAAGGUGCACCAUGGCAUUGAGGCAAUUGUGUGGAUUUUCUGAUGGGGAGGUGAUGAGAUCAGAUUGUAAGACUUGUUCCAGAUUGACGAGACAGACUGCUGCAAUAUUCUCAGUUGGAGGAGCAUUAGGCUUUUGGGUGCUGUGCCGCUUGCACUACGGCCCUAGAAUCACAAAUCCUCGAAGUUUUAGGUGGGGAGCUUGUGGAGCAGUCUCUACAAGCUCUACCACCGCAUUGCUGGUUCGCCUGUUUAGUCCAGAAUGUGAACCUCAAAAUAUAGCUGCUUAUGACAAAAAAGGAUAGUGCUGCCUAUUCACAAGCUUUGACUAUCCUAUGAUGGCAAUUGGGGUCUUGCACUUGGAGUUAUGGAGCUUGUAUUGCUGCCUUUGAAUAAUAUGAGAUAGAUAAUAGCUUUGUUACUGACUGCUGAUAAUGUAUUUGUUCAUGACUUCAUGCACUACUUCAAUGUUAUUCUACUUCAUUCAAUUUCCUUUUAAAUCCAUAAGAACGUGAAUUUCCCAAAAAUGUUAGGCCUACGCUGCAGUGCUUGAGCUCCAGCAUCUUAUAUUGUGUGGAAAGUUCUAGCAUCAAAAUAUGUAUACUUUUUCUUGUGAAAUAUGUGCUGGGUCAUGGCUGCAGGGAAGCAAGCGAUGGCCAUAUAUCGGUCAGGAGGUGAGUUUAAAACUGAUAAGGAUGCUCUACUCUUGUAUAAAGGUGGAGAUGCAUGCUCAAUAUUGCUCAUGCUAUGGAAAUUGACAACCAAAUGAAUUAUGAAGAUUUCAAGAUGGAGGAAGCCGAGAUGUUUAACCCCUCCUCCAACACUUGUCCAUCAGGUCAGCCUACAACUGAAAAGUUAGGUCUAGAUGAGACCCUGAGGCAACAACUUCAAUGCUGUAGAUGCAAAGGACAUUGGACUAAUCAACAUGCUUUGUUUCCUACUUCACUUGGAGCAAAGGUUCUUGUCAUUCUUUACACAAAUAUAUCGACUUCCAAUCUACAUUCCCCCUUUUUUGUGCUGAUAAUAGUGAUAUAAGAUGCUUAUAUACAUUUGCCUCAAGUAUAGUCUGGACCAACCAUUAC